AUUGAACGCUGGCGGCAGGCCUAACACAUGCAAGUCGAGCGGAUGACGGGAGCUUGCUCCUUGAUUCAGCGGCGGACGGGUGAGUAAUGCCUAGGAAUCUGCCUGGUAGUGGGGGACAACGUUUCGAAAGGAACGCUAAUACCGCAUACGUCCUACGGGAGAAAGCAGGGGACCUUCGGGCCUUGCGCUAUCAGAUGAGCUUAGGUCGGAUUAGCUAGUUGGUGGGGUAAUGGCUCACCAAGGCGACGAUCCGUAACUGGUCUGAGAGGAUGAUAAGUCACACUGGAACUGAGACACGGUCCAGACUCCUACGGGAGGCAGCAGUGGGGAAUAUUGGACAAUGGGCGAAAGCCUGAUCCAGCCAUGCCGCGUGUGUGAAGAAGGUCUUCGGAUUGUAAAGCACUUUAAGUUGGGAGGAAGGGCAGUAAGUUAAUACCUUGCUGUUUUGACGUUACCGACAGAAUAAGCACCGGCUAACUCUGUGCCAGCCGCCGCGGUAA
rnacentral:rRNA from 1 species